ensembl:misc_RNA Y_RNA Y RNA
UGUUGGUCCAAAGGUAAUGAGUUAUCUUAAUUAGUUGUUCACAGUCAGUUACAGAUCAAACACCUUGUUCUGUUCUUCCCCUUCUUCUCAUUACUGCACUUAGCUAGUCUUAA